rnacentral:rRNA from 1 species
UACGGAGGGUGCAAGCGUUAAUCGGAAUUACUGGGCGUAAAGCGCACGCAGGUGGCUGAGUCAGUCGAUUGUGAAAGCCCUGGGCUUAACCUGGGAAUUGCAGUCGAUACUACUCAGCUAGAGUAUGGGAGAGGGCAGUGGAAUUCCCGGUGGUAGCGGUGAAAUGCGUAGAUAUCGGGAGGAACAUCAGUGGCGAAGGCGGCUGCCUG